UAAUUUCUUUCUACUUUCGUACUGGAGACUUUUUUGGCUGAUCACAUAGGACACUAGUUGACAUAUCAUCCAGUAUUAAUUAAAACGUGUGGGAACAAAAGGGGAUGUUAUUUAUUUAUUUAUUUAUUUUCAGAAAUAAGAUGAAGGACCCUACGCCCCUACCGGUCUGGAAUUCCUCUUGGGUUAACCCGGCCCGAGGUACUUACUUUGGGAGGAGGAGGGAAGGAUAAGGGGAAACUCUCCUCCAAAGUUAAAUCUUUUGAAGGUGCAAUGAAUUUUGUUGAAGAUGGAACUAGUGCCAACUCGUGUGGACUUUACUUGACAAUUAUCCAUUAGAGUAUCCAUUUUUUGCUCCGUCAAAGGUUUUUUUCCUUCAUAAUUUACUCCGUACUAAAAUUGUUCUAGAAUAAUGUCAGUAUUGGAGUGAUUGAGUUGACUACUUAUUAUGGAGUAUUUAAUUGAUUUUACUAUAAAAAAAAUUCCCCCUCUCUUCCUUGGCAAUACAUGAUGGAAACGUAGUCAUAGACAAUUUUAUUUUAUUUUUUUUUACUUGACAUAGGCUCAAACUUGCAUAAAGUAAAAAGUCUUACAAAAAUUACAAAAAUUAAACUAAAAACCGAAUUAAUAGAUAACGCAAGGGCCCUGUGCUCUUCUUGUUUUAGCCCGUAAUUGUUGAAAACGCCUUGCUCAUGCCACUUACAUGACGUUAUAUUGUCAAGGCACAAUGCAUCUAUGUUUCCUUUAUAGUAGAUGGUACUAAUGUUAUGGAAAACAUGGGGAACAAGGAUAGGAGAGAAAGAUAACCAAUGUGAUAGGCUAGGUUGAUUCACCUUGUGUAUUGCGCACAAGUGUCUACACACAACUUGUUUAGCAUACUAUAAACCCCCACAAAAUGAGGAGCGGUGUUUAAAUAAAGAUUUUUGAAAGCGCUAAGAGAAACCCUCAACGCUAACCUAAAGGGAGAAAUAACAAAAGUUACUCUCCACGACCAAAUGACAACCCAAACCGGAGGACACUGACCCUUCUUGUUACUCAUUACUCCUUUCCUAAAACAACUAAGACUUUUACCCCUAGGCCCACUCUCAAACUCAAACGAGAUAAUUUCCAUUAUUCUAACACUAGCAUUAGAAACGGAGAGACUAACUUUAUCACAUAAUAACUCCCCAAACCAACCAACAAACCCCCUAAUUUGAACCUCAAAAGGGGUAAACCACCUACAACCUGGAUAACUUCUUAAGAAGAACCCAGAUAACACCAGGAAACACGCACAGGUGACCUCUUAUGUCAACAACCUUAGACGGACCAAUCUUAGAAAAAACAACAAAAAACUACAAAAAAAUCCCAAAAUGCAUCAUUAAAACUGAGCAUCUUAUUCAACUAAUCUAGAGACUACCACAAAGCAAAGCAGAGGAGAACAUGCACACACUAAUGGAAAUUUAAUCCCAACAACCUGAAAUCCUAAAACUAUUUACCGUCAAGGUCGGGGUGAGUCGACACUACAGGACGGCGGUGGUCACCUUUACCAUCAAGAUCGGGGUGGUCCGACACAAAACAAGACGACGACGAUUAGAAAGGACCGGGAAAACAAGCCAACAUAGGGUACUACCCUAAACCUACAAACAGAAACAACCAAGACGAACAAUUCCAAAUCCAACAACAAACCCUUACCCUAACCAAAAUUACCUCACCGAUAAACAGAGGCGGGUCAAAGGGUGGGAUUGGAAGAGCGGCGACGAGGUUGAAAUUCUGACCUGUUAAAUUACCUCUGAACACAAAAUCAAAUCUUUGCUUGGAUACUCCGGUAACCCGAACAAGAAACUCCUGCGAUAUCUAAUACCUCCCGACACCUAAACAACAAACCCGACGAGAGGAGCACGAACAAAGAGGAGGAGGAAACAAUGCUUGGUUCCUCUUUCAACCCUCAACCGAGUGAACACAACCCUUACUAGACUAAAGAAACAACAAAAAACUACUACAGAAACGACGCACAAGCUCGUCGGCGGCCGUUAAGGCGACGACCACCAGCGAGCUUAUGGUGGCGGCGGUUAGGGUUUUGAGGUUUAGGGUUUUCUUUGGAGGCACUACAAAAUUAUGCAUCAAUUAGAGAUGGAUUUUGAGAUGGAUUUUGAGACGGAUACAAUCAACGUCUCAAACUUGAGACGAGUUACUAAAACUUGGUCUCUAAAUUAAAAUUGAGAUGAAAUUGUACAUAGUGUUUCAAACAUUCCGUCUCAAGUUUGUAAUGGGUUCGCAAAAAUUCCGUCUCAAAUUUUUUUGAGACGCCCUCUAUAGAGACGCCCUAUUUAUGUCUCAAAUCCGUCUCUAAGCAUCAUUUUGAGACGGAUUUGGACUAUAUAGAGACGAAAUUUCUCGUCUCUAUAAAAUGAUUAUUUUGUAGUGAGGAGAGGAAGUUAGAGAGAGAACGGGGAUUCGAUUGUUUUAUUUUAUUAUGGGUGCAAAGAUUAUGAAAUCGUUAAAGGCUAUCAACAAAUACUAAAAUUAUACUCGUAUUAUGGUCCGGAUAUUUAGACAGAAUCUCAUUAUUUUAUCAUUACUAUAAUCAUAGUAGUCACGACAUCAUAUAAAAGGGAAUAAAGAAUACAUUUCACUUAGCAAAAUACUUCAUCCGUUCUUAUUUAUAUACACAAUUGAGAUUUUGACACUAUUCACACAAGUUUUUUUGAAUUCGUUUUGCGAUUUAUACAUAAGAAAAAAUAGCCGUGUGGGGCCUUAUUAGAUUAGUCUCAAAAAAUAUUUUUUGAAUAUUAAAUUUUCAUAAUUCUUUUCUUAUACAUAAUGAGAUAUAUUAGAGCACAUACAACCUUGAUAUAUAGCUUGGGUCAAGUGAUAAUUGACAGGAUAAAAUGACUACAAUGUUGACAGUGUACAAGGGUCAAAAUUUAAUUAACUUGACCCGGGUCGCAUAUGUGACCUAAGGUCAAGUGCAUUAAAAUUGGAGGUGGGACCGACUUCUGCUCCACUUGCGAUUACAUCGGCUGUUUGCAUGCAAAUAUUUGAUGUAAUUUGUACCGUGAUUAUAUACUGUAUGCAUGUAACAAAUAUUUCAAGUUGUUGAGCUCAUGUGAACCUGCCACGAAUGCAAGCAUGUAAUUAAUUUUUUUAUUUUUUUUUUGUUUUUCAUUUUGCAUGAUAACAAUCCAGUUAUGUAUAAAUUUUACUUCAUUGUGUUAUAUAUGUAUGUUUAAGAUUA